GAUGAAGAACGUAGCGAAAUGCGAUGAGUAAUGUGAAUUGCAGAAUUCAGUGAAUCAUCGAAUCUUUGAACGCACAUUGCGCCCGCCAGUAUUCUGGCGGGCAUGCCUGUUCGAGCGUCAUUACAACCCUCAGGCCCCCGGGCCUGGCGUUGGGGAUCGGCGGAGCCCCCCGUGGGCACACGCCGUCCCCCAAAUGCAGUGGCGGUCCCGCCGCAGCUUCCAUCGCGUAGUAGCUAACACCUCGCGACUGGAGAGCGGCGCGGCCACGCCGUAAAACACCCAACUCUUCUGAAGUUGACCUCGAAUCAGGUAGGAAUACCCGCUGAACUUAAGCAUAUCAAUAAGCGGAGGA
rnacentral:misc_RNA from 1 species